AAAAAAAAAGAAAAAGAAAAGAAAAACAAGAAAUGCCUGAACCGAGAAUAAAGAAAGAGGUUCGUGGUUUCUUAGAUAGAUUGAACUACAUGUCAUGGUUCACAUCUCACCUAACAGCCACGUGGGAACCCAUUCAAGAAAAAAAAAAGAUCAAACGGUCAGGUGAAAUAAUGAUUGCCAAGGGGCAUUGAAAAUAAAAGAAUAAGUUGCAGGAACCUCUGAUUCUGAUACCUCCUUGUGGAGGGA
rnacentral:lncRNA from 1 species